CACAGUAGAGUAGAAGCUGGUAGGCAUGACAGUGGGUGUUUGGAAGGUAUAAACAGAUGUCAGCAGCCAGUUGUCUUCGGGGGAUUAAAAAGGGCAAUCAGAGGAAAGAAAGAAGAUACCCACAACCCCAGGAUGUCAAAUUUUUUCUAGUGCAUUGUCAGCUCCUCCAAUAAUUGUAGGAAGAAGAGAUCAGAGAUUCCUGACUCCCUGCAUGGCAAGUGGGCAGAGCAUGUCUGAUGCAGCUGGCCAGAAAGAGUGAAAGAUUUCACUGCUGUCACCUGCAGAUGUUGGGAGUGCAAGCCUGGCUGUUCUCCCUAAGGCUGUGAAGGUGGAAGAGGAUACACAACUGGCUUUUUUUUUUAAGAAGUUUCAGGAUGUCACUGACGCUUCAACAGCCCAAGAAGCUGCAAGGAUGGGGACUGCUGAUAUUUCAGUGAUCACCGCAACGACUGAAGAUUUAGAGGGGGAGGGACAGGUCUUCAAGCUCACGUCUUCGCUGGUAAAGAGGUUUUCUAGUUUGUCAAACAAAAGCAAACGCUCCAGUAGCGGGACACUCGAUCCUAGCCCACACAGACACACACACCGGCAGGGCUUGUAGCGAAGAGAACGAUCCAUGAGCAGGCCCAAGACACCGGGCAGGACAACGGUGGAAUCUUAGGGACCAAAUCAACAUCACCUUCCUCCUCCUCGCCCCCUCCCGCGGGGGCUCCCCUGCCGGCCCCCCAGAGCGCCGGGCGGGGGGGGGGGCUCCCCCAGCUGCCGCCCCACCCCCACUGCCCCGGGUGACACUGGCCCCCAGAGCAGGGCCGCCCCCAGCUGCCCUCCCGCGCCUACCUGUGCCCGGCAGCGAAUGCGGAGCCAGUCCCGCACCGACCCGCCCCCGGGGGGCAGCGGCACUAGCUGCGCUCGAGAAGCGUCCGGGUCCCGCACCAGCAGCGCCAUCUUCCCCCGCUCAGCAGCCCCGGCCCAGGCGAGACGGGAAGCGCCGCCGGGCAGGCAGCGGGCAGGGCGCACACUGAUGACGCAGGGAAGCCAACCCGG